UACGGAGGGUGCAAGCGUUAUCCGGAUUCACUGGGUUUAAAGGGUGCGUAGGCGGGUUGGUAAGUCCGUGGUGAAAUCUCCGAGCUUAACUCGGAAACUGCCGUGGAUACUAUCAAUCUUGAAUAUCGUGGAGGUAAGCGGAAUAUGUCAUGUAGCGGUGAAAUGCUUAGAUAUGACAUAGAACACCAAUUGCGUAGGCAGCUUACUACACGAUCAUUGACGCUGAGGCACGAAAGCGUGGGGAUCAAACAGGAUUAGAAACCCCUGUAGUCC
rnacentral:rRNA from 1 species